rnacentral:rRNA from 1 species
UACGGAGGAUCCAAGCGUUAUCCGGAAUCAUUGGGUUUAAAGGGUCCGUAGGCGGUCUUAUAAGUCAGUGGUGAAAUCUCCCCGCUCAACGGGGAAACGGCCAUUGAUACUGUAAGGCUUGAAUUAUUAGGAAGUAACUAGAAUAUGUAGUGUAGCGGUGAAAUGCUUAGAGAUUACAUGGAAUACCAAUUGCGAAGGCAGGUUACUACUAAUGGAUUGACGCUGAUGGACGAAAGCGUGGGUAGCGAACAGG